AGAAUCAACGCUGGCGGCGUGCCUAACACAUGCAAGUCGAGCGCGAAAGGGGAGCAAUCCCCGAGUAGAGCGGCGAACGGGUGAGUAACGCGUGGGUAAUCUACCUCCGAGUGGGGAAUAACAGCGGGAAACUGCUGCUAAUACCGCAUGACAUCGUCGAGCCUUCGGGCCUGACGAUCAAAGCCGGGGACCGCAAGGCCUGGCGCUUGGAGACGAGCCCGCGUCCGAUUAGCUAGUUGGCGGGGUAAUGGCCCACCAAGGCUCCGAUCGGUAG
rnacentral:rRNA from 1 species